AUUGACAGACUAUUGUAAACAACUAUACUUUAAUAAAAAAAUUAAAGAGAUGUAUUGACACAGAAAGAUGCCCACAUCACAUACCACACAAAAUUGCAUAUAUAGGCAUCUGUGUGUAUGUGUGUGUCUAUAUAUUGAUAGACACUUAGAAGAGGGAUGUAUAUAUACACACACUUGCCCCUAGAGAGAUGCUUGGAAGUAGCAUAGGUGCCAAAUAUUAUCCAUAACAUCUCCCUCUAGGUGAUAAAAUUUGCAGGAUUUUUGCUUUCUUCUUUGUGCUGAAUUUUGUAGUCGAAUUUACUACACAUAAUGAAUAUGUAUCUUUUCCCCCCAAAGAACAAAGUUUUUGUAAAAGAGUACAAAAUAUUCAUAAGUUGGAAAAAUUGAUGCUAGAAUGAAUAAUAGAAUUAAGUGCAGUGUUUUUUUCUAAAUUGCCACUUGAAAUUAGAAUAAAAACACCCCAUUUUAAAAUAAUAAUUGCUGAUUCCCUUCCUUAAUAGUGUACCAGGCUAGUAAGAGCAGUAUUUUUCUAAGGUUCCAGCUAUUUCCAGGUGUCACAGUCCCACACGUUUUCAUGCCAAUGCUUUCCUGGAUACAAUGUUGUUUUCUCUUGCAAAGAAAGACUGACACAGAAAAACAUGUGGGAGAAAAAAGGCACUAAUUCUCCAAAGUUUUUAGACUCUUUUAUUAGAUAGGAUUUGCAGACUGAACAAGCCCAGCCUUAUGUAGUCUCCUAUAGGAGGGAUGGUUUGGCCUGAUACUUAUACCCUUUCCUGAAGGGUCACUAGGUUAUUUCUGCUCUCCACCCUGUCCUUUGGCACUGAUUAAUUUUCCUGAAGUUCCUCUCAAGUUUUGAGAAGCUGCCAGCACAGAUGCUCCCUACACUAAAUUGUUACCUGACCUCUUAACCCAGUAACUCCCAACUUAUCAUGACAAUACGGAAGACCUACAAAAAUUUCCAAGGCUGAUCGCCAGUGUGCACCUACUAAAAACCAAAACAUAACAUACAUUAAUACAUAAAGAGAAAAAUAUUGCCUUUUUCCUGUGCUCUGCCAGUUCUUCAUGAUGAAUAGACUUAAACUUGUUUGUCUAUCCAAUCUAAAUCAUGAAACAAUCUAGGAUUUUAAAAUAUAUCUACAAUCUUAGUCUACUUAGCAAGCAUUGGGAGUUACUUGGCAUCUCAGGGGGUUACGGAUCCACUGUUGUCACUGCUGUGACUCAGGUACCAUCCCUGGCCCAGGAACCUCUGCGUGGUAUGAGUGUGGCCAAAAAAAAAGUCUCCUCUUAGCAAGCACUGUAGUGCCAAGGACUACGGUAAGUAGCUUAUGUUCUUUAUCUCCAACUUGCCAAGGAAACUUCAUAGUGUUUUCCAUAGUGACUGUGCCAAUUUGCACUCUUGGCAACAGUGUACCAGGGUUAACAGUGCACUCGUUUAAAGAAUGAGAAUUCUUUACACUAAGUUUGCCAACUAUUCCACAUCAUGCACACCAAACCUAAAGGAAGGAAUAAAGAGGGUGUGUCAGCUAAGCCUGUCAUUUUUUAUUACAUAAGCAAAGUUUUCCAGAUGCCCCAUUCAACAUGCUUCCACUUGUUGGUUAGAACCAUAGCACAAGGCUAGUCCUGGCUGGAAGAUGUCAAGCGAAAGGGGUUGGAGCUGACCAGAAUACAGGUCAAGGAGAGAGCGUAUAAGAGAAGACAAGAGAAGGGUGAAUGGGGCUGAGCAGAAGCUGGGGAAAAGGACCUGUCGCCACCCCUGGGAAGGUUGUGGUUGGGGAUGGGAGAAGGAUGGUGGGUGAUGUAGACACCUGUGCUAUCUUUACAGUUUUGCAUUAGACUUGACUUUCCAGCAUGGCUUAUGUAAAAUGGAUUUUCUGUGUCUCUCUUUUAUUCAUUCCACAGAUAUCUAUCAAGAGUCUAGUAGAUAUUCCAGAUGGUUUUCAAAGGAACACAUAACUCAUGAUUGGGCUAUAUGUGUGUGGUGUGUGGUGUGUAUGUGUGUGUGUGUGUGUGUUCUAUGUAUAUUUGGUCUUUGUCCCUAGUUCCUGGCACAGAGCUCCUAAAAUUCUUGAAAGGUCCUGAAGGAUAAGAGUGUCUUGUAUUACUCAUAAUGAACCCUUUGGGGGAACGCCUGAGCCUGUGCCCUUGAGGUGCCCUAGGGUGGGGUUCCUAGAUGGUCUUAGGAUGGGGGCUCCUUACCGCAGACUAAACUUGUGGUUUUACAGCUUGGGAACUCUCAGCCCCACCCCUAGAUGAUCAAAGAAGGGGAAGUGGGCUGGAUAUAAAACUCUUGAGUUUCUGGACUGGUGAACACAUGGAGUUCUGGGCGGGUGGUGCCUCUUGAGAAGGCAGGUAAGCUCAGCACUACCCCUUCAUACUUUGCUCUAUGUAUCUCCUCCACUUGGCUGGUUCCAAGUUGUAUCUUUAUUUAUUUGUUUAUUUACUUUUUGGCCACACCCACAGCACAUAGAACUUCCUGCUUGGGCCUGGAUCAUAGCAGAGACUCAAGCCACAGUAGUGGAAAUGUUGGAUCCUUAACUUGCUGAGCCACCAGGGAACUCCUGAGGUGUAUCUUGUAUAAUAGACUUAUAAUCAUAAGUAAAGUGUUUUUCUGAGUUCUGUGAGCCAUUCUAGCAAAUUAUCAAAGCAGAGGGUGGAGGGCUCUCAAAUUGCAGUAAGGCAGAAGUGUGGACGGUCCAGGCACCUCAUUCGAGCUUAUUUUAGAAGUUGGGGCAGUCUUUUGGCACUGAGCCCUUUAACUUAUGGGAUCUGAUGCCAACACUGGUACAGAGUGGAGGGUUUUUGUUCAUUCCCUCCCCCACAAGCAUAUUCUCUUUACUUCUUUCAGAAAACAGCCUUUAGUCCUCUGGUCCUUGCAAACUUUUAACACAGUUGGUGUGAGAUCAAACUGUCCUUGUUGGUUAUCUAUUUUAUGGAUGGAAUUCAUGGCAAGAACCAUGAAGUGUCUGAGACCUUACCCUAUUUACGAGCAAACAGGGCAUGGAGGAAAAAUAGUGAGAAGGGGCUGUCUACAAGCCAGGAAGUGAUGCCUCACCAGAAACCAAGCCUGAUGUCACCUUGAUCUUGGACUUCUAGCCUCCAGCACUGUGUUGUUUGUGUCACCCAGGCUGUGGUAUCUUGUUGUGGCAGUCCUAGCAGAACGUACUGAAGGAGCCAGGAAACAUCAGGUCUUAAAGAUCAUGGAACUAAAAGCCUAGUGAUGAGAUGGAAGUUAAUCAAAUUACUGCUCAGGAUGGUAAGUGGAAGUGGUGAACUGCAGGUUAGCCCUCAACCAGUGCCAGCAUUUCUCAGGGUCCGUGGCCCUUCUCCUCUUGUUGUGGCAGCAAAGAUGGCUUUGAACAUGACUACUCUCAAGACAGGAAAGGGUCACGCUCAUGGCAUAUAGGCUAGGGGUCUAAUUGGAGCCACAGCUGCUGGCCUACACCACAACCACAGUGAUGUUGAUCCGAGCCACAUCUGUGACCUAUACCACAGUUCAUGGCAACACUGGAUCCUUAACCCACCAAGAGAGGCCAGGGAUCGAGCCCGCAACCUCAUGGUUCCUAGUUGGGUUCCUUAACCCUUGAGCCAUGACAGGAACUCCCCAAAGAGAGAUGGUAAUCUUCAAAACAUAAUUUUCAAUUUCAAGAGCCAGUAUUUGAAGGUCCCAGUAUUUGAAGGUCCCAAGAAAUGUGAUUAUUUCAUUUUCAGAAGUCUGAAAAUCUUAUCUUCGAAUGUCAAGAACAAAAUCAGGAGAAAUUCACACAUUAAUGUUUGCACCAAGAGGCACUGAGAAGAAAGAGGGCUACCAUGGGGGAGGUUUGGGUUUUCUCCCACUUCUAGAGAAGAUGUGGCUGAGUGGAUCCGUGGACCCGAAGAUUCCUUGGGGUGGUGCAGUAGGAGAGAGCUUUGUGGAUCUUGCUGCCUAAAAGCAGAGGGGUCCGGGGCAGCGGCCACCAAGGGACUAAAAGACCAUUAGCAUCAGCAGCAUGUGUCCACAGAGACGUGGCCACGUGACAGACUCUCGCCUGCCCCUGAUGCCAUGAUCCUAGCUGAGCAUGGUUAAACUCACUGCCUGGAAUAUGGGAUCUAACGAAUCAUGUUCUCCUAUUGUUAUCACAUUGUUAUGAACAGGCUGGAGCUCUUCUUGGGCACGGCUGGAACCAAGCGCUUGCUUAAUGAAGUUACGCUAGGCUACCGAAAAGAGGGACUGGCUGACUCCUGAGAGGACAGGGGGCACGGCAGUGUGCUGAGCACACUCAGACCUCCAGCAAGGGUCAGAGAUGAGAGUGAAAGAGAACACUGGGCUCUGGGAGGCCAGGCACCCUUCACCGGUGCCUCUCCCGGGCUCUGAUGUUGAAGGAGCUGUAGUCAGGCUGCUUACAUUCAGGAGGGAGAAGAGGGGUCCUGGGAGGUCCGUGGUGCAGAGAGAAGAUGUCGCACCUCAGACACAGAUCCGGGAAAGCCUGAUGUGACCUGGAUGAGACCCAUAACCAGGGACGUAAUUUUCUCCUUCUUCCCUUGUGUUCUCCAGCCCAGAGUGGUCUUGGAUGCUUUCCACGACUCCCCUCUUCAUGCCUAAGCAUCCCCUGACCCUGAGACCCCCCCCCAAAUCUGGGGCCUCCACCUGGCUCCUUGACCCCCACUGCUUUUGUUUUUCAUCACUUGAUUCCUUCCCGCCAAUCUAGAAGGCUCAGGCUACUUUUACGGUUCACAUACAACUUUAUUAAAAAAAAAAAAAAGUGGGAGUUUAUUUUCCUUUCCUUAUAAUAGAUUGUAAACUCCUUUGAGACAGGGAACCCACCUUCUACAAGGUGCUUUAUAUGAUGGACUAGGCAAACAGGGGAGGAUUUCCAAAUGUUGCCUGAUGGACAUCUGGUCCCCUCCAUUCUGAUGGGAAUGCUGACGCCUCUGUCCUCAGCGUCACAGGGGAAAAUUACAAAUAGCACUAGAUGUUCCAAACGUGUUUGCUUUUCUUUCCCAAGAGGACUACUUUGUGCUUCCCUAAGUCGUUCCACUUGGUGGCUCACCCAGCUAUAACUGUCCAAUAAACUUGUCUGGCAAACGACCUCAUAGAAGCUGACGCUAAUAACCUCGAGGACAAACCAGGAUUUCUGGCUUCGCCUGUUGACUUCAAGUACCUGGAGCACUUGUUCAUGUUUUCUUGACUUUGUUCCACAUUUAAUUUUCUUAAAAGAUGCUGUAUUAACUGGAAAAUUCAUGGGGUUUAAUAAGAUGAUAAUGUAGAAUACUUAACACAACUUUGACAGCAAGCAAGCUCUCUCAGUGUGAGCUAAGCUUAUUACCCCAUCGACAGAGAAAUCAUUGUAUUCAUUCUCUCUCCGGUAACCAUACAUGACACAAUAGGAGAAAGCAACGUCUAGGUGGUGGUUCUUUUUGCUUGACACAUAUUUUAAGGUUUGCCCCCUCCUGCUUUCCCUGCAUUUUCUACGUUCUAAAAUGGUCACAAAUAGUAGCACAGUAAGAACUGCAUGAAAAGAAGCUGCAUGCUCUGUACAUUAUUCAUGGCCUCCGUUACCCACAAAGGGCUGGCCUAGUUUUCUCUCUCCACAGGGACGUUGCACACAGCCCACGGUCCGUGUGACUGUGAGCACUCAUGGCAGGUAAUAUUUUAUUUAGCCGACUCCAGACAUCCACACAACCCUCAAACUUGGUAAGAAAGCUGAAGCCCCUCUUGGGAAAUUGAUUUUCAGGAAAUGUGCUGCCUGUUCCAAUAGGGUGCCCACUCUGAGAUGGUACUUCAAAGGACCCUAUCAUGGGAUUCAAGUUAGUGAAAUGUGCACACGAGAUGUUUUCCUGGAUUGAACUUGCUUCUCCUCCACUCAAGGAGGUACUGUUACCUUUUCCUACGAGGGAGCUUUAUUUAUUUAGGGCCACACCCUUGGCAUAUGGAAGUUCCCAGGCUGGGGUCGAA